AUUGAACGCUGGCGGAAUGCUUUACACAUGCAAGUCGAACGAUGAACCUUAGCUUGCUAAGGGGAUUAGUGGCGAACGGGUGAGUAAUGUAUCGGAACGUAUCCAAUAAGGGGGGAUAACUAGUCGAAAGAUUAGCUAAUACCGCAUACGUCCUACGGGAGAAAGCUAGGGACCUUCGGGCCUGGCGUUAAUGGAGCGGCAGAUAUCUGAUUAGCUAGUUGGUGGGGUAAAGGCUCACCAAGGCGACGAUCAGUAGCUGGUCUGAGAGGACGACCAGCCACACUGGAACUGAGACACGGUCCAGACUCCUACGGGAGGCAGCAGUGGGGAAUUUUGGACAAUGGGCGAAAGCCUGAUCCAGCCAUUCCGCGCGAGUGAAGAAGGCCUUCGGGUUGUAAAGCUCUUUCGCAAGGGAAGAAAACUUAAGCUCUAACAUAGCUUGAGGUUGACGGUACCUUGAUAAGAAGCACCGGCUAACUACGUGCCAGCCGCCGCGGUAA
rnacentral:rRNA from 1 species